CAAAUGGCAGCUGUUGACCAGUCUUCUUCUUCUCUGGUGAUCACUCAUAGCUGAUCACGGUUUUAACAAUGAGUUUGUAAGUCACUGUGGAGGCCAAUUCUGGAUCCACACGUCCUUCCACAGUGGGGACAUUGGUUUCUGGGUGGGAGUUGAUCACGGAUUUGCCAAGCCUGUCCUCCUCUUAGCACGUUUUUCCCUUGCAUCCUGAGUUCAAGUGUCUUCAAAGCCUUUGGUAAAAGCUGUUCUCCAAUUGGAGCGCUCACAGGCCAGUGUUUCCCAAUUGUUGGUGUUUAUACGACAUUUUUUUAAAAAAUUGCAUUGAGACAGUCUUUAAACCUCUUUCCAUUUAAAGUCCAUGGAAAGUCUUUAAACACUUUCCAUUUUUAAGUUCGGAAUAGAGUAGUUGCUUUGGAAGACGAUAAUCUGGCAUCUGCACAACAUGACCAGUCCAACGAAGUUGAUGUUGAAGAAUCAUUGCUUCGAUACUGGUGAUCUUUGCUUCUUCCAGUACACUGGUAUUAGUUCACCUGUCUUCCCAAGUGAUGUGUAAAAUUUUUUGGAGACACCGUUGAUGUAAUCUUUCAAGGAGUUGGAGAUGGCGUUUAUAAGUGGUCCAUGUUUCACAAGCAUACAGUAAGGUUGGUAGUACAACAGCUUUGUAAACAAGCAUUUUGGUUUCCCUGCGAAUGUCCCGGUCCUCAAACACUAGUGCAUGGAGAAGAAUAUGGGGAAGCAAAGGGUUCUAACAACUGCUUUGUGGGACGAAGGUCACAGGCUCAACCCACAGCAUCUCCAGUUAGGGCUGGGACUGGGAGUGUGUCCUCCCGGAAAUUCCCAAGAGCCACUGCUGGGUCAGUGUAAGCAAUACUGAGAUACUAGAUGAACAUAUGAGUCGACUCAGUACGACAGCUUCCUGUGUUCUCUCAUAGUGGCUGCAGUCGCUCAUUGCUUCAGUGCCCAUGCUCCCUGGUAAAAACCAGAGGCUGGUUAGAAACUGACAAAACAGUUUUGGGUUUUCUUUUUCUUUUUUGAAUGAAGUAGAGUUGCUUUAAGAUUCAGUAGCUACCCAUAAGCUUCCAGAAAUCACUGGCAAACUGAAGGAAACUGCACCAUUUUGGGGCCUUGUUUUUUUGUUUUCUUGCCUUUCUUCAGAAGGCACUGGUGGGGGAAAAAUCUAUUCAAAUAAAUUCUCAUAUCCCACUGAUAUCUUAUUUUGCUCUUGUUUGUUUUGUUCCCCUUUCAUCCUUCCUAGACUAAAAGGAGAAAAAAAAGGUGUGGCUAGGGUUGUGUCACCUCCUCUUGACAGAAAAGAUUGAGCUAUUAAUAACAUUAAUUAUAAAAUACAUUUCAAAGGAUAAUUAUUGCUAACAUUGAUUUCUCGCCAGCCUUUUUUGUGUCUCAUUCCAUUUCUGUUUGGAAUGGAAGUACCAUCAGAUGUAUCAAAUACAGACUCUAACAUUUUCAGAUCAUGUUUAAAACCAAUUUUAAAAGUGUGCUAAGCUGUCAACUAAAUUUGAGAUGCCUACGGAUUAAUUUACACUGUAGUAGAUGUUAGGACAAAUGGCAAGAAGGUGUCCUUGGUAAUUUUUUUAUUUUAUUUUAGCAAAGCUAGAUGGAAAAAAUACAGCUGCUGCUUAUAGUGCUUAUCUAGCCUUGUAGGGCUGAAAACCUUUAAAGAAAAUCCACAAUGCUCAGCAGGAAAUCCACUCUGUAUCACAGCCCUCCAAAGGAGAAAGAUUAAUAGCUACCUAUGAUUUUUGUAAAGCAUGAUGUUGAUGGUAGAAGAGUGAGAAUCCUCACCCUACAUUCUUAAGUGCAUCCUCCCUUUUAUAGGCUUUUCUUUAUAGGAAGACUUGAACUAAAUUCAUCAAUGCUUAAUACAUAAGUUUAGCAAAUAGAAGCCACCUGUGUGAAACUGAGCCAUAUGGAAGCAGGGGCUGAGCUAAAGUCUGAAUCUUUGCAAUUUGACUAUUUGCCUUUGAAGCCCCUGUGUGCUUUCCUAGUUUGGAUUUUAAUCCAAGCCAGGAAAGAAAACUUCUUUUCAGGAGAAGAACUUCUACUUCCCACUGGCACCCACCAGCCCACCUGGCUUCCACUGCUAUGGGCACAAGGGAAAGUGGUCCUUUUCUUUCCCCUUUAUGUAUUUGAAGUGCCUGCUGCAUGAGGCCAGUGACCCACACCUAAGUCCAGCAUCUUGUUCUCAUAGUGGCCAACAAGAAACCCAUGGGAAUACCACAAGCAGUAUCCCAAGCACAAGAGCAUCCUCAUCUCCUGAGAUUUGCAGUAACUGUUAUUCAGAUGCGUACAGCCUCUGACUGCGGAGACACAGCAUAGCCAUCAUGGCUAGAAUCCUCUGAUAGCCUUAUCUUCCAUGAAUUUGUCUAAUCCUCUUCAAAAGCCAUCCAAGUUGGAGGCCAUCACUGAAGAGACCCUUGCAGCUUAACUAAGUGGCUACAGAAUCCACAGAAUGAGCAUUACAUGUUGGGAUGAAUCUCACAUGGCGGUCUUGUCAUCUGAAGCUUCCAUGAGGCAAGAUGCUUGGUUAGCCUUCAUGGCAAAGAAGAAUAACCAAAUGAAUAUAUCUAGCUCUCACCUAUCCUUACCAUCUCCAUCCCUCAACUGAACUCCUUUGCCUGAAGGGUCUUAAAGGAGCUGCAGGGAAAGGCAGCUAUUCAACCAGUUGGGCUUUUGGAGGGCAUAGAAACGUGAUAGAGGCUCUCCUCUGCUCUCACGGACUAUUACAAUUAAUAC